rnacentral:rRNA from 1 species
UACGGAGGGUGCAAGCGUUGUUCGGAAUUACUGGGCGUAAAGCGCGUGUAGGCGGCUCUUCAAGUCGAGUGUGAAAGCUCCAGGCUUAACCUGGGAUUGCGCUCGAUACUGUUGAGCUAGAGUGUGGAAGGGGCUACUGGAAUUCCGUGUGUAGCGGUGAAAUGCGUAGAUAUACGGAGGAAGCACCUGCGGCGAAGGCGGGUAGCUGGGCCGAACACUGACGCUGAGACGCGAAGCUAGGGGAGGCAAACGGG